CCUACGGGAGGCAGCAGUGAGGAAUAUUGGUCAAUGGGCGAGAGUCUGAACCAGCCAAGUAGCGUGAGGGAUGAAGGCCCUAUGGAUUGUAAACUUCUUUUAUAAGGGAAUAAAGUGUGGGACGUGUCCGAUUUUGUAUGUACCUUAUGAAUAAGGAUCGGCUAACUCCGUGCCAGCAGCCGCGGUAAUACGGAGGAUCCGAGCGUUAUCCGGAUUUAUUGGGUUUAAAGGGUGCGUAGGCGGCCUGUUAAGUCAGUGGUGAAAGUCUGUGGCUCAACCGUAGAAUUGCCGUUGAAACUGGGGGUCUUGAGUACGUUUGAGGCAGGCGGAAUUCGUGGUGUAGCGGUGAAAUGCUUAGAUAUCACGCAGAACCCCGAUUGCGAAGGCAGCCCGC
rnacentral:rRNA from 1 species